CACAGUAUGACGUCCAUCUGACGAGUGAUAACGGAUUAACAGUCAUAGUGUACCAAUAAAUAAUGUUAUGACAGUCUUUUAGCAGAGUUCAUCACUAGGUCGGACUUUAUAGGCUGCACCAGUACCGAUGAACUGGAUUUAUCACUGUAUUAUUAUUUAAUUUAGAACAUUAAUCCAUGUAAUCUUCAUUUCCACCUCAAACGUAGUUUCUCAUGUUGAUUUUGGACAUCUGUUGCCAGGGUUCAAGUCAGCA
rnacentral:lncRNA from 1 species